rnacentral:tRNA from 2 species
GACUCGUUAGCUCAGUUGGUAGAGCACAACACUUUUAAUGUUGGGGUCUUGGGUUCGAGCCCCAAACGAGUCACAA